rnacentral:rRNA from 1 species
UACGUAGGGUGCAAGCGUUGUCCGGAAUUAUUGGGCGUAAAGAGCUCGUAGGCGGUCUGUCGCGUCUGCUGUGAAAAUCAGGGCUCAACCCUGGACCUGCAGUGGGUACGGGCAGACUAGAGUGCGGUAGGGGAGAUCGGAAUUCCUGGUGUAAGCGGUGAAAUGCGUAGAUGAUCGGGAGGAACAUCAGGUGGCGAAGGCGGCUACCUGGCCCAAUACUGACACUCAGGUGCGACGAGCGUGGGGAGCAAACAGG